UGGGGAAUAUUGCACAAUGGGCGCAAGCCUGAUGCAGCAACGCCGCGUGAACGAUGAAGGUCUUCGGAUCGUAAAGUUCUGUUGCAGGGGAAGAUAAUGACGGUACCCUGUGAGGAAGCCCCGGCUAACUACGUGCCAGCAGCGGCGGUAAUACGUAGGGGGCUAGCGUUAUCCGGAUUUACUGGGCGUAAAGGGUGCGUAGGUGGUCUUUCAAGUCGGUGGUUAAAGGCUACGGCUCAACCGUAGUUAGCCUCCGAAACUGGAAGACUUGAGUGCAGGAGAGGAAAGUGGAAUUCCCAGUGUAGCGGUGAAAUGCGUAGAUAUUGGGAGGAACACCAGUAGCGAAGGCGGCUUUCUGGACUGCAACUGACACUGAGGCACGAAAGCGUGGGUAGCAAACAGG
rnacentral:rRNA from 1 species